AUAUCAAUAAGCGGAGGAAAAGAAACCAACAGGGAUUGCCCCAGUAACGGCGAGUGAAGCGGCAACAGCUCAAAUUUGAAAUCUGGCCCCCCGGCCCGAGUUGUAAUUUGGAGAGGAUGCUUCUGGCGCGGCGCCGUCCGAGUUCCUUGGAACAGGACGCCACAGAGGGUGAGAGCCCCGUACGGACGGACGCCUAGCCUCUACGAAGCUCCUUCGACGAGUCGAGUAGUUUGGGAAUGCUGCUCAAAAUGGGAGGUAAAUUUCUUCUAAAGCUAAAUACCGGCCAGAGACCGAUAGCGCACAAGUAGAGUGAUCGAAAGAUGAAAAGCACUUUGAAAAGAGGGUUAAAAAGUACGUGAAAUUGUUGAAAGGGAAGCGCCUGUGACCAGACUUGCGCCUCGCGGACCACCCGGCGUUCUCGCCGGUGCACUCUGCGUGGCGCAGGCCAGCAUCGGUUCUCCCAGGGGGACAAAGGCCGCGGGAACGUAGCUCCUUUGGGAGUGUUAUAGCCCGCGGCGGCAUGCCCCUGGGGGGACCGAGGACCGCGCUUCGGCAAGGAUGCUGGCGUAAUGGUCACCAGCGA
rnacentral:rRNA from 1 species